rnacentral:lncRNA from 1 species
UGAUGUAUUAAUGCUUUCAUUACUGUUUUUUUUUUUUUUCCAGCCACUCAUUACAUGCAAAUAAAGUAAAGUGCAGGGAARUGUAAGCUGAGAGAAGUGGUUAGCAUAAAUGCAGCAAAGGCAACAUCCAUUGUUCAACUGAUUUAAGGAAAAAAACUCUGUUAUGGAGUGCCUGAUGGGCUGAACUUGCAUUUGUCACAUUUCAUAUAGACAUCCAUGUCCAUCAAAAGCACUUUCCUGCCUUUGGAUCAUGAUCAACAUUUUGUUAAAAAAGAUGGAGGACUUUUUACAGCCAUCUGGAAUAUUGCUAUUGUAUGACUGGCUUCAGUUCUUUUAGAGGAAAAUAAAUGGACAAAAUGAAUUCUUGGUGGGCGYGUGCUCACACAGUACGUACCUUGCUGGUGCUUCCAAACACGCUGGGCAGGAGGGAUACAAAUAUUCGUCGAUCCAGCAAGUUGGAAGGCUACGUGGUGGAGAAGUAAGUUGGUAACGUUAAUUUGGAAAAGAAGUUUCUGUAACCUGCAGUUUUGCUGUAUAGAGAAUGGGGGAAAGACGGGCGCUCUCCAGAAUUCAGGGUGCGUUACUGCGAGAGCGAUUGCAGCAGCCAGUGGCGGAUGCGUGAUGUCGGGACAGAGGAUGUGCCCAAUGACUUGCAACACCCAUGAAGACGAUCAGCUCUAGCAGGUCAUUUCAAGGAUGGGAGAAACAGGAGUGGUUUGAGGACAUGAUCUUCAUGGAUGGGAAACUGUGUCCUUGGUUCUGUUCUAAGGAAACUCAUCUUUACUGGAGGGAUGAGAGAGACCAGAAUAUGAAAUUUUAAUUGAAGGUCACUCAAUUUAUUUUUCCUUCAUUUGUUUUUUCAGUGGCUUGUCCUGAAUAUAAUUGAUUUUAUAGGAAGGGUCACACCAAGAUCUAGAUGUAUGCUAUUGCUCACCUUUCACCCUGUUGUUCUUGGUUGUAUAUUUUCUUUGUUAUCCCUCUUGCAUAUUUUGUAAGAAAAU